CAGAAGAGGCACUUGACUCCUUUUUCUAGAAGAUCCUGUUGGGGCCAAGCUCUGUAAGAUUUUGUGUAAUGCAAGUAGUGAAGGCUCUUUGAUAACAACAUGCUGUCUGUCACCUGCUCAGUACUUCUGAUUCUCUUAAUGUUCAGGAAAAACCAUGGAGACUCAGUGACCCAGACAGAAGGCCCGGUUACUCUCACAGAGUUAGAAACUCUGAUCUUGAACUGCACUUAUCAGACGACUUAUUCAGGUCCUGUCCUUUUCUGGUAUGUCAAGUAUAUGGACAAAGCUCCUCAGCUCCUCCUGAGAAGUGCAACAGAAACCAAGACUGAGAACCAAGGUUUUCAGGCUACUCUCAUCAAGAGCCGCAGCUCCUUCCAUCUGCAGAAACCCUCACUUGAGCUUUCAGACUCUGCUGUGUACUACUGUGCUCUGGGGACACAGUGAGGCAAGCUACAGGGGGAGCCAAGCACAAAUCCAGAGGGUGCAGGAGGCUGAGGACAGAGCCCUGACCAGAGACUGCUGUGUUCUCUACCUAGGAACACUCAGUUUCCCCAGUAACCUAAGCCAGUCUCUGGUGAGUUUCUACAAAAGUUGGGAGUCCUGAGCUACUUUAAGGUAUUAUGGGGUGGAUGAUAGAUUAAAGAGAUCCCAGGGUUUGCUCUCCAAAAGUUUUACCUCUCAGCUGCAAAGUCUUCUCUCUCUUUCAGACUGGAAAAUUUUGCAGAACAAGUAUUUCCAGGAAAACCAUGGCACAGGGUUAAUUUCUGCCAAGAUGACUUGUAUGUUUUGUGAUAUGAAAUUUUGAGGGAUUGUGUUUUCCAUGCAAGUAUUUAUGUACCAUAAAAGGGACACAAAACCUGCCUUAAUUAUCUCACUUUAGUCUCUACAGCUAAGUUGGUCUCUGCUUCUCCUUAGUCUCUGCUGGAAAUGUUCAGGUCAACGCCCCACCAACCUUCAGCUUGAUGAAGCUGCUCAGGAGGCACAGCUGUGGGGGUCCCUCAGUCUAGGAUGCUGAAGGGUAGCUCCAUCAUAGGCCCUCACUACAGAGAUGGUGAAAGUCAGGGCAGUUAGGAAAGACUGUGUCAAGAAGUCCUCUUUCUUCUUGUCCAGGUUCCUCUGUCAUUGCCCUCACCUUUAAAUGACAAGCAUCUGAGAUUCAGUGUGAGGUUUUCUGAGAAUUCACCUGAAACAGAAGAAAGAAGACCCCUUUUAAACAUCUCAACUCUCCUAAUAAAAUGGCAUUUAAACUCAAAUACUUAAUUGUCUUGUAUAUUUCUGUAUAAAGCAAGAGAGAUCUGAAUAAAAAGGAAGAUGCAUC